AUCCCCAUAAUCUCUACGGAGAAAAGCAGGGGAUCGUAAGACCUUGCGCUUUUGGAGCGCGGCCGAUGUCUGAUUAGCUAGUUGGUGGGGUAAUGGCCUACCAAGGCUUCGAUCAGUAGUUGGUCUGAGAGGACUGACCAGCCACACUGGGACUGAGACACGGCCCAGACUCCUACGGGAGGCAGCAGUUGGGAAUUUGGGACAAUGGGCGCAAGCCUGAUCCAGCCAUGCCGCGGGAGUGAAGAAGGCCUUCGGGUUGUAAAGCUCUUUCAGCCGGGAAGAAAAGGCUGCGACUAAUAAUCGCGGNUCAUGACGGUACCGGAAGAAGAAGCACCGGCUAACUACGUGCCAGCAGCCGCGGUAAUACGUAGGGUGCGGCGUUAAUCGGAAUUACUGGGCGUAAAGGGUGCGCAGGCGGUCUUGUAAGUCAGAUGUGAAAUCCCCGGCUUAACCUG
rnacentral:rRNA from 1 species